GACGAACGCUGGCGGCGUGCCUAAUACAUGCAAGUCGAACGCUUCUUUCCUCCCGAGUGCUUGCACUCAAUUGGAAAGAGGAGUGGCGGACGGGUGAGUAACACGUGGGUAACCUACCCAUCAGAGGGGGAUAACACUUGGAAACAGGUGCUAAUACCGCAUAACAGUUUAUGCCGCAUGGCAUAAGAGUGAAAGGCGCUUUCGGGUGUCGCUGAUGGAUGGACCCGCGGUGCAUUAGCUAGUUGGUGAGGUAACGGCUCACCAAGGCCACGAUGCAUAGCCGACCUGAGAGGGUGAUCGGCCACACUGGGACUGAGACACGGCCCAGACUCCUACGGGAGGCAGCAGUAGGGAAUCUUCGGCAAUGGACGAAAGUCUGACCGAGCAACGCCGCGUGAGUGAUGAAGGUUUUCGGAUCGUAAAACUCUGUUGUUAGAGAAGAACAAGGACGUUAGUAACUGAACGUCUCCUGACGGUAUCUAACCAGAAAGCCACGGCUAACUACGUG
rnacentral:rRNA from 1 species